CAAGUCCGAUAUAUCUUUAUUUUUGUGUAUAAGAAACGAUUGUACAGUUUAACGAUAUAUCUAAAUAGAUAAGACUUUUUUGGGAAAUUUCAUCGGAUGUUAAAUGCUAAAAAUGACAAAGUAAACGAGGUGAGCGAACUGAGAGUGAACGAACUGAGAGUGGAGUUCAGAUUGUCUUACCGGAUAAUCUCAUUAUUUCUGAUAGCGGAGAGAAACACGUUAUUCCAGAAAGCAUCCCCUAAAAGGCCUCCCCAUUUACGACUCAAAAUUGCCACUCCCGCGUAAUCAACUCUGUACCUGAGCAAUUUCGGCCCCGCAGGGCCCGUGGUGGAGGGCGAGGCCCCUCGCUCGCCGGUUUCCAUCCCCCCGGAACGACUGCGGUUUUCGGUGCGGAUCCGCAAAAUGGAGCGACCACCCUCUUUUCAACGUGUGCCGCGUCAGUGGAAAAGAGAGACGUGAAAAAUAGAGAGGGUUGAAACGGAUGCUGGAGGAAGCGGGCAAACAAACCAUCGCCGGGGAGGAACAGCCGGAAGUUGAGGAAGGAUCGAAAAAAGUAAAGUUACCCCGAAACAAUUACGUGCGGGAACAAUGGUAGUGUCCCUCGCGACAAACAGCAAGACGGGCUCGGGGAACAAUACGCACUGACGUGUCUGCCAGUUAUCAGGAGAACCGUGCGUAAAUAGGCUGCCGAAACCGCUGCUCGGAAAUUGCAACCGGCGUAACCGCGAUGCGCUCGAAUUUGGAUCCUGUAA